rnacentral:rRNA from 1 species
UACGAAGGGUGCAAGCGUUAAUCGGAAUUACUGGGCGUAAAGCGUGCGCAGGCGGCUUUGCAAGACAGAUGUGAAAUCCCCGGGCUCAACCUGGGAAUUGCAUUUGAAACUGGCCAACUAGAGUACGUGAGAGGGGGGUAGAAUUCCGCGUGUAGCAGUGAAAUGCGUAGAUAUGCGGAGGAACACCGAUGGCGAAGGCAAUCCCCUGGACCUGUACUGACGCUCAUGCACGAAAGCGUGGGGAGCAAACAGG